rnacentral:lncRNA from 1 species
GCGUUUAGGGUUAGGGCUCAAAUUAGCAUAGGUUUUGGGUUAGGGUAAUUAUAGGGUGUGCUUAAGGGUUGAGCUUAGAUUUAGCAUAAUGGAUAGGGUUAGAGUUAGGGAUAGGAUUAGAUUUAGGUCUAGGAUUAGCAUUAAAAUUAGGGUUAUGUUUAUGGUAAUUGAUAGGGUUAGAGCUAAAUUUAGGGCUAGGUUUAUGGAUAGGAUUAGGGCUAGGUUUAGGGUUAGGGUUCUGGGUUUGUUUUGUGUUAAAUUUAGGGCUAGAAUUAUGACUAGGGAAAAUCUAGUAUAAAGGUUAGGUUUAGGGGUAGGGUCAAGGUUUGAGCUAGGUAUAUUAUCAUGGGAAGGGGCAGAGUUAGGGUUUGGGUUAGGUUAAGGUUUAGGGUUAGGGCUUGAAUUAGCAUUAGGGUUAGGGUUAGGGUUCAGGUUAGGUUUAGGUUAAUGAAAUAGGUUAGGGUUAUGGAUGAGUAUAGGGUUAGGCCUAGGGUUACCAUUAGAGUUAUGGUUAUUGUUAGGGUAAUGGAUAGGAUUAGAGCUAGUGAUAGGGAUAGUGUAAUGGUUUGAAUUCUGGCUAGUGUUAGGGUAAGGUUUAGGGCUGUUUCUGGGUUAGGGUUAGGUUUAAGGUUAGGGUUAAAACUAGGGUAAAGGCUCGAAUUAGGGCUUGGUUUGGGGUUUGGUUAGGGCUAGGGUUAGGGCUAUGGAUAAUGUAUGAACUAGUGUUGCAAUUAUUGCUAGUUUUAGGGUUAGGGUUAGGGUUAGGGCUAUGUCUACUGUUAUGGUUAGGUUUACAGUUAGGGGGAUGUUUAGAGCAAGGGUUAUUGUUAGGGUCACUGUCAGAGUCAGGGUUAGUUUUAGGGUAAGGGUUAGAAUUCAAAUUAUGGCUAAAGUUAGUACUAGGUGUACAGUUAGGGUUUG